UACGUAGGUGGCAAGCGUUGUCCGGAAUUACUGGGUGUAAAGGGAGCGCGGGCGGGGAAGCAAGUCAGCUGUGAAAUCCAUGGGCUUAACCCAUGAACUGCAGUUGAAACUGUUUUUCUUGAGUGAAGUAGAGGUAGGCGGGACUCCGAGUGUAGCGGUGAAAUGCGUAGAUAUUCGGAGGAACACCGGUGGCGAAGGCGGCCUACUGGGCUUUUACAGACGCUGAGGCUCGAAAGUGUGGGGAGCAAAC
rnacentral:rRNA from 1 species